GCCCCCAUCGUCUAGAGGCCUAGGACGACAGCCUUUCAAGCUGUAAACAUGGAUUCGAAUUCCAUUGGGGGCACCA
rnacentral:tRNA from 1 species